AUGAUCGCGUUGCUCGAGCUGCCGUUGGAAGCUUAGAAGCAGGUGCUACCGUGCUAGAUCCAAAGCGAUCUAUUUAAAAGCCCUCUGUCACGCACGCACACUUACUGACGAAUCCUCUGGCUCUCUCCUAUCACCGCCCGGUGGCGGAUUCCGGAAUUGGUUCAAAAGGCCUUGAUCCCGAACACCCAGGACAGAGACAGAGGACUUUUCCUACCUCUUUCGCCUGCAUCCUUAGAAAACUCCCGUGGAUGAGAAGAUCCCCAGGCCUUUACAAGCUGUUGUUUUACAAAGGGAGAAACUGAGGCAGGGAGAGGCGCUGGAUGUGCACCAGAGCACGUGGUGCUUCAGUGCAUAGCUGAGGGCACAUGGAACAUUCACCAAGAUAAACCAUAUGCUGGAACAUAAAAUUUAUGGAUGUCUCCCAUGAAGCAGAGUCCUUCAGACCCUCACUCAAAAACAAGUCUCAUUUUACAUUAAAUUGGAGGACUAUCUGGAGUCUCUGACCACCGCAUGACAGAAAAGAGAGCAGAAUUGUUGCAUGAUGGGUAACACUCAUCAAUAAUCACCGGCUGCCAAGCCAUCUGGGAGGAGACCAAAGAGCUAUAAAAUAAGUUCAGGCACGGUGGCUCGUGCCUGUAAUCCCAGCACUUUGGGAGGCCGAGGUGGGUGAAUCACCUGAGGUCAGGAGUUCGAGAC
rnacentral:lncRNA from 1 species